CGAAAAGGCAGACAGCUGGUGGCACCUUGUGCCUGUUGUUUGAGCAGGCCUUCCCCUUGGUUUAUUGUGCAGAAGAGAGGAGCAAAGUCGAAGGACCAAUUGCUUGUGCUGUAAUUUAUUGCAUAUGGAAAGGCAGCAAGGGGAUUUUUUAGCAGCAGAACGACCUGGCAGCUGGAUCACCGUGGUGGGGCAGGCACAGGCUCUGUGCUGAUUCUACUGUACUGACUGGUCUUAGCACAACUCCUCCCUGCCCAGAAUCCAAGACCUGGCCUCCAUCUGUGCUGUCAAGUUCAUAAGUGACAAAAGUGUUUAACAGUUCACUUAAAAAUUGA